rnacentral:rRNA from 1 species
AUUGAACGCUGGCGGCAUGCCUUACACAUGCAAGUCGAACGGCAGCGCGGACUUCGGUCUGGCGGCGAGUGGCGAACGGGUGAGUAAUACAUCGGAACGUACCCUGUUGUGGGGGAUAACUAGUCGAAAGAUUAGCUAAUACCGCAUACGACCUGAGGGUGAAAGUGGGGGACCGCAAGGCCUCACGCAGCAGGAGCGGCCGAUGUCUGAUUAGCUAGUUGGUGGGGUAAAGGCCCACCAAGGCGACGAUCAGUAGAUGGUCUGAGAGGACGAUCAGCCACACUGGGACUGAGACACGGCCCAGACUCCUACGGGAGGCAGCAGUGGGGAAUUUUGGACAAUGGGGGCAACCCUGAUCCAGCAAUGCCGCGUGUGCGAAGAAGGCCUUCGGGUUGUAAAACACUUUUGUCCGGAAAGAAAUCGCGCUGGUUAAUACCUGGCGUGGAUGACGGUACCGGAAGAAUAUGCACCGGCUAACUACGUGCCAGCCGCCGCAGUAA